AACGUAGGAGACAAACGUUAUCCGGAGUUACUGGGCGUAAAGGGCGCGUAGGCGGCCUGCUAAGUCGAACGUGAAAUCCCCGGGCUCAACCCGGGAACUGCGUCCGAUACUGGCAGGCUUGAAUCCGGGAGAGGGAUGCGGAAUUCCAGGUGUAGCGGUGAAAUGCGUAGAUAUCUGGAGGAACACCGGUGGCGAAGGCGGCAUCCUGGACCGGCAUUGACGCUGAGGCGCGAAAGCCAGGGGAGCAAACGGG
rnacentral:rRNA from 1 species